UUUACAUAGAAACAUCUUCAGACAUUGUGCAGUUUUAAUUUGAAGGAUUAAGAAUAAAAAUAUCCUGCUUGGAAAUAGAUUUGGGUUGGCAACAGGAAGUGCAUCCAACCAUAGAAAAUCUUCCACAAUAAUUUUUUUGUGGUUCACAAAAGUAUGAAAAGGUGGACAUUAAAAGAACGAUAAUGAUGUUGAUGGAGAUGAUGGUCUAUAUGUUAUGCUAAUAACUAUCCCUCCCAUUUGGUACUAAAACUAAAGAAGCCAAAUGACAGAAAAAGGAAACUUUUUGUUAACAAUUCAGGGAAAAGACAGCUCAGAAUCAAGAAUAGAGGGAAAAGUUAUCAGUGACUUAUGCUCCAUAGGGAACGAAGGGCUUAAGUAAGUACUGUUGUGCAAGAUAUGACCUCCAAGUAAGCUGAGACUGUGAUAGGGUUUCAUUCUGUGGUUUCAAUCUGUGGGGUUCCCUUUCCUGAAUCCAACCCUGGAUACUGUAUGAAAAGACAUAGUGUACUUAAAAUGUAGUGUACUUAAAAGUGUAGUGUACUUAAAAUUAUAUUUCCAUAUUUUCAACAAUAUGAUUUAUCUCUUUUAUGUGUGUUUCACCCCUUUAUCUAACAUUAUAUAAAUGUAGAAACAUUGUUAUUCAUCUUAUCUGGCCACUGCUCUUAAGUUGAACACCAGGUCAUAUCAGAUGCUAUAUUAUGGAAACUUGCACAUCCUAAAAGAAGAACAAGCUCAUUCAACUGCCAGAAUGUUAUUGGCAGAGAAACUCAACAUGAAAUCAAAGAAUUAACAAAGCUUAAUGUAGCAUUAGAUUCCUGGUGCAGCAUAGAGAAAGGUUACUCACUUUCAGCUGAUUGAAGAAAAAGCAACAUUGUCGGACAGCUGUGAUAACUAUGAUAAUUGUGAUGAAGGGAUGAAAACUGGGCCACUUUCUUUCAGUACUUCAGAAUCUUCCCUUAUAAAGAUACAGCAAUGAAGUGUUCACCUUAAACUUUUCCUAGGAUUAUUUCAAGGUGGAACCUGAAAAAGUAAAUGUGGCCUUGGCAGAAGAGGAAGGUACCUGUCUUCAACCCUUUCAAUCUCGUCUACAACACAACCUCUUUCGCCAUAGCCACCAGACAGAGGAAAACUGCCUGUCCUUCCCAGCCAAAGGAAGGAGGUGGAGCGAUUUUCACGAUGGACUCAGACAAUAGCCAGAUCCAACCUACACCAUUUUUCUGUAUUAUUUUUCCUGCAUGAAUGACACAAAAUGUCAAAGAAAACCAAAGAUUAAUAGCACAGAACUUUAU
rnacentral:lncRNA from 1 species